rnacentral:lncRNA from 1 species
AGAAGCCCUGGCAAGCAGGCCAGUAGCAUCUGGGAAGGCAAUCAGGGCUCAGGUUUAAGGACAUCCACAAGGACACCAUGAGACAAGUGCCAGUCAGAAGGGCACUGGCAGUAGUGGCUGCAGAAUUUCAAUGUAGGAAGAACUUACAGGGAGCAUUUUGGUUGGAAAAGAACUAGAGAAGCUGUAUUUGCAUAAUACUCUACACAAGACUGAGAAAAUGUCGAUUAUCCGUGUCAAAAAAUAGGGAUACCAUGGAUAGUUGAGAGGAGAGCUAAAGCCUGCAGGACCAAGAAGUUUCCUGGAUUCAGAAUUCUCUGAGGUCAUCCCCAAGCAGAAUGGUGCAUUCAGAAACCAGAACACACUGCACGGGGCAGGCUCUGGCUGGAGAAUUCAGCUGCAGGUGCUCUGUCCCAGCAGACAGGAGGCAGGGGGACAAGGAGGGCUUGUUGCCAUCCCCAGUGCAAUGCAGCAGCUCAAGCAUUAGCAGAGGGACUUGCAUCCUUGGUUAGCAAGCAGAUCCAUGAGGAUGUCUGGAAGUAAGGAGGGACUUGAUAGGUCUGCUUAAUUGCUUCCUGCCUCAAGCCCAGAUUGGUCUGGGAAAGAGGCUGGGCCCAGGCUGCAGGUGGGAGAUUGCGUGGCCAGCUGUGAUGAACUGGAGAGGCUGAGUAAGGGGAAAUAGAAAGGGAGGUGGGGGUGGGGAGAACAUGCUGAAAUAGAUCCCUGAAUGUCCUGGGGCCGGAGCCGGGUCACUCAAUGUGGGGGAGGAACUUCCUUCCCUCUUUCGUUAUUUUCCUUCCUCUCUCUUCCUCCUCACAGGCAACCAGCUAGAGGCAGGAUGAGCUGCCACUUUUUCAUUUUCAGAUCAAACAUAACUGUCUUCAGAGUAUAAAUCCUCUGAAGCCUGCCCUUCUUCCAUCCAGUCCCUUGGGUGGCAGGUAUUAAAUGACUACUCCAUGUUCUCCAUAGGGAGGCAGGAUGCCUUGGCAGCAGAGCACACUGUUGUCAGUACUCAGAAGCGUCUGGAAGCCACCCUCAUCUUAAAAUAAAAGAAUCAAGAUUGAGCUUGGAAAGACAAAAUGUAAAAUCAGUGCCUGGAAAAAUAGGCCAAGUCACCUUAAGAGUCAGAAUAGUUCCAUGAAUAUAUCAAUCAUUUGCAGUGUUGAGUGGGGACGUAGCACAGCUGGUCAACCAGCCACAAGACUAUGGUAAUGACCAUCCAGCACAUCAAGGAGAAAGGGCGACUGCACUGAGCACUUGGCUGCUGUGGUUCCAACAGAAUGUAGACCUAUGAGGCGAUAGGUGCAUCCAGCUGAUUAUAGUUCAAGGGCAUAAAACAUGCAGAUUUUUUAACUUACCAAGCAACCACUAAUGAUAAUUGGGACCUCCUGUAGGCCCCCAGAGGGAGAGUGCACCAGCUAAGAGCCAAGAGCCAAGAGCACUGCUUGAGUUUCUUCAGUGGUUCUGGAUCUUAAAAAUGGGCUUGGUUGCUCAGUUUACAAAUGAGUUCGGUUACUAUAAGUCUGCCCUUCUGAGACUGAACCUGCUGAGAGAACAAAUGAAUAAAAUUAAGCUUCUGAGCCGCAAGAUUGAGGGUUUGACUCUGAGCCAUGGAAAGUCCCUCUAGGCAAUGCCUCUGUAUAAGCAGCUGGAGAGAUAGCCUACAAAUCUUUCCUGAGCUCUGAACCUCUGAACCACCCUGCCAUUGCUCUUUGGUGAAAUCUGCUCCUACUCUUUCUGACAUAAACUAACACAAA